rnacentral:rRNA from 2 species
ACCGGCGAUACCCGAAUGGGGAAACCCAGUGUGACUCGUCACACUAUCAUUAACUGAAUCCAUAGGUUAAUGAGGCGAACCGGGGGAACUGAAACAUCUAAGUACCCCGAGGAAAAGAAAUCAACCGAGAUUCCCCCAGUAGCGGCGAGCGAACGGGGAGGAGCCCAGAGCCUGAAUCAGCAUGUGUGUUAGUGGAAGCGUCUGGAAAGGCGCGCGAUACAGGGUGACAGCCCCGUACACAAAAGCGCAUGUGCUGUGAGCUCGAUGAGUAGGGCGGGACACGUGGUAUCCUGUCUGAAUAUGGGGGGACCAUCCUCCAAGGCUAAAUACUCCUGACUGACCGAUAGUGAACCAGUACCGUGAGGGAAAGGCGAAAAGAACCCCGGCGAGGGGAGUGAAAAAGAACCUGAAACCGUGUACGUACAAGCAGUGGGAGCCCCACCACCAAAGCAUUUGCUGUACCGCGUUGACGGAGCGAAGCGACGUCAAACCGAUAAAACAGCAGUGUAAAGUGAGCCGCAGGGCGCUUUGCGCGACAGCGCAAAGGCAGGCGGUUUCGCGUAGCGAAAGCGAAUGCUUUGGGGUGGGGUGACUGCGUACCUUUUGUAUAAUGGGUCAGCGACUUAUAUUCUGUAGCAAGGUUAACCGAAUAGGGGAGCCGGAGGGAAACCGAGUCUUAAUUGGGCGUUAAGUUGCAGGGUAUAGACCCGAAACCCGGUGAUCUAGCCAUGGGCAGGUUGAAGGUUGGGUAACACUAACUGGAGGACCGAACCGACUAAUGUUGAAAAAUUAGCGGAUGACCUGUGGCUGGGGGUGAAAGGCCAAUCAAACCGGGAGAUAGCUGGUUCUCCCCGAAAGCUAUUUAGGUAGCGCCUCGUGAAUUCAUCUCCGGGGGUAGAGCACUGUUUCGGCUAGGGGGCCAUCCCGGCUUACCAACCCGAUGCAAACUGCGAAUACCGGAGAAUGUUAUCACGGGAGACACACGGCGGGUGCUAACGUCCGUCGUGAAGAGGGAAACAACCCAGACCGCCAGCUAAGGUCCCAAAGUCAUGGUUAAGUGGGAAACGAUGUGGGAAGGCCCAGACAGCCAGGAUGUUGGCUUAGAAGCAGCCAUCAUUUAAAGAAAGCGUAAUAGCUCACUGGUCGAGUCGGCCUGCGCGGAAGAUGUAACGGGGCUAAACCAUGCACCGAAGCUGCGGCAGCGACACUGUGUGUUGUUGGGUA